GGCGUCGAGCGGCGGACGGGUGAGUAAUGCCUAGGAAAUUGCCCUGAUGUGGGGGAUAACCAUUGGAAACGAUGGCUAAUACCGCAUGAUGCCUACGGGCCAAAGAGGGGGACCUUCGGGCCUCUCGCGUCAGGAUAUGCCUAGGUGGGAUUAGCUAGUUGGUGAGGUAAGGGCUCACCAAGGCGACGAUCCCUAGCUGGUCUGAGAGGAUGAUCAGCCACACUGGAACUGAGACACGGUCCAGACUCCUACGGGAGGCAGCAGUGGGGAAUAUUGCACAAUGGGCGCAAGCCUGAUGCAGCCAUGCCGCGUGUGUGAAGAAGGCCUUCGGGUUGUAAAGCACUUUCAGUCGUGAGGAAGGCGGUGUAGUUAAUAGCUGCAUCGUUUGACGUUAGCGACAGAAGAAGCACCGGCUAACUCCGUGCCAGCAGCCGCGGUAAUACGG
rnacentral:rRNA from 1 species